rnacentral:rRNA from 1 species
UGGCGGCGUGCCUAUACAUGCAAGUCGAGCGAACGGACGAGAAGCUUGCUUCUCUGAUGUUAGCGGCGGACGGGUGAGUAACACGUGGAUAACCUACCUAUAAGACUGGGAUAACUUCGGGAAACCGGAGCUAAUACCGGAUAAUAUUUUGAACCGCAUGGUUCAAAAGUGAAAGACGGUCUUGCUGUCACUUAUAGAUGGAUCCGCGCUGCAUUAGCUAGUUGGUAAGGUAACGGCUUACCAAGGCAACGAUGCAUAGCCGACCUGAGAGGGUGAUCGGCCACACUGGAACUGAGACACGGUCCAGACUCCUACGGGAGGCAGCAGUAGGGAAUCUUCCGCAAUGGGCGAAAGCCUGACGGAGCAACGCCGCGUGAGUGAUGAAGGUCUUCGGAUCGUAAAACUCUGUUAUUAGGGAAGAACAUAUGUGUAAGUAACUGUGCACAUCUUGACGGUACCUAAUCAGAAAGCCACGGCUAACUACGUGCCAGCAGCCGCGGUAAUACGUAGGUGGCAAGCGUUAUCCGGAAUUAUUGGGCGUAAAGCGCGCGUAGGCGGUUUUUUAAGUCUGAUGUGAAAGCCCACGGCUCAACCGUGGAGGGUCAUUGGAAACUGGAAAACUUGAGUGCAGAAGAGGAAAGUGGAAUUCCAUGUGUAGCGGUGAAAUGCGCAGAGAUAUGGAGGAACACCAGUGGCGAAGGCGACUUUCUGGUCUGUAACUGACGCUGAUGUGCGAAAGCGUGGGGAUCAAACAGGAUUAGAUACCCUGGUAGUCCACGCCGUAAACGAUGAGUGCUAAGUGUUAGGGGGUUUCCGCCCCUUAGUGCUGCAGCUAACGCAUUAAGCACUCCGCCUGGGGAGUACGACCGCAAGGUUGAAACUCAAAGGAAUUGACGGGGACCCGCACAAGCGGUGGAGCAUGUGGUUUAAUUCGAAGCAACGCGAAGAACCUUACCAAAUCUUGACAUCCUUUGACAACUCUAGAGAUAGAGCCUUCCCCUUCGGGGGACAAAGUGACAGGUGGNGCAUGGUUGUCGUCAGCUCGUGUCGUGAGAUGUUGGGUUAAGUCCCGCAACGAGCGCAACCCUUAAGCUUAGUUGCCAUCAUUAAGUNGGNCACUCUAAGUUGACUGCCGGNGACAAACCGGAGGAAGGUGGGGAUGACGUCAAAUCAUCAUGCCCCUUAUGAUUGGGGCUACACACGUGNUACAANGGACAAUACAAAGGGCAGNGAAACCGNGAGGUCAAGCAAAUCCCAUAAAGUUGUUCUCAGUUCGGAUUGUAGUNGCAACUNGACUACA